rnacentral:snRNA from 1 species
AUACCUUUCUCGGUUUUUUUGGCUAAGAUCAAGUGUAGUAUCUGUUCUUAUCAGUUUAAAAUAUCUGAUACCUGGGCUAUCAGCCCACAUGAUAUUAAAUUAAUUUUUCUAUGUGGGGAGGCUCCACAACAGUAGCUUGCGACUGGGGGCUUCACGCGUCAACCCUGCGUUGCACUACUGCACGGGCCUGUCGCACCCAAU